rnacentral:rRNA from 1 species
GAUGAACGCUGGCGGCGUGCCUAAUACAUGCAAGUCGAGCGAACAGACGAGGAGCUUGCUCCUCUGACGUUAGCGGCGGACGGGGGAGUAACACGUGGAUAACCUACCUAUAAGACUGGGAUAACUUCGGGAAACCGGAGCUAAUACCGGAUAAUAUAUUGAACCGCAUGGUUCAAUAGUGAAAGACGGUUUUGCUGUCACUUAUAGAUGGAUCCGCGCCGCAUUAGCUAGUUGGUAAGGUAACGGCUUACCAAGGCAACGAUGCGUAGCCGACCUGAGAGGGUGAUCGGCCACACUGGAACUGAGACACGGGCCAGACUCCUACGGGAGGCAGCAGUAGGGAAUCUUCCGCAAUGGGCGAAAGCCUGACGGAGCAACGCCGCGUGAGUGAUGAAGGUCUUCGGAUCGUAAAACUCUGUUAUUAGGGAAGAACAAAUGUGUAAGUAACUAUGCACGUCUUGACGGUACCUAAUCAGAAAGCCACGGCUAACUACGU